rnacentral:rRNA from 1 species
CGUAGGGUGCGAGCGUUAAUCGGAAUUACUGGGCGUAAAGCGUGCGCAGGCGGUGAUGUAAGACAGAUGUGAAAUCCCCGGGCUCAACCUGGGACCUGCAUUUGUGACUGCAUCGCUGGAGUGCGGCAGAGGGGGAUGGAAUUCCGCGUGUAGCAGUGAAAUGCGUAGAUAUGCGGAGGAACACCGAUGGCGAAGGCAAUCCCCUGGGCCUGCACUGACGCUCAUGCACGAAAGCGUGGGGAGCAAACAGGAUUAGAUACCCUGGUAGUCCACGCCCUAAACGAUGUCAACUGGUUGUUGGGUCUUCACUGACUCAGUAACGAAGCUAACGCGUGAAGUUGACCGCCUGGGGAGUACGGCCGCAAGGUUG